rnacentral:rRNA from 1 species
GAUUAUGGCGGAGGUGUCAUACCCGUUCCCUUCCCGAACACGGAAGUCAAGCCCUCCCGCGCCGAUGAUACUGCCCUCCGGCGGGAAAGUAGGUCAUCGCCAGGC